GAAAGAGCCUCUGAAAAAUGACAUUGUUCAUCCCAGAUAUGGCAGCUGGAUGUGUGUUUUUGUUCAUCUUCCUUUCCAAUACCUUCCAGCCCAUCAAUACCCAAGACCUCCCUCAGCCCAGUCUGAAAGUGAUUCCAUCAGUCAUCAGAGAGAGAGACUCAGUUCAGAUGAUCUGUGAGACUCCUCCACCUGUCUCUGUGUCUCACUGUUACUUCAUUGUUGAUUGGAAAGUGGAGUUUACCCAAUCAACAGCCUGUCAGCAGACAUUCACAGGAAAUCAUCUGGUGAGGUUGACAGGUCAAAGUUCACCUGCUGUGUUAAAAAUACAAUGUCAGUUCAUUGCUCCAGGCUUUCAGUUUAGAUCCAUAUUCAGUGAGCCGUCAAAAGUCACAAUUCAGGAUCAUCCUCAGCUGACAGUGAUUCCUACAGUCAUCAGAUGGAGAGACUCAGUUCAGCUGAUCUGUGAGACUCCUCCAUCUCACUUUGUGUCUCACUGUAUCUUCAGUGAAGUGGGGAGAUCUAGUCUGCCAGGCUCAACCUGUAAACAGACGGUCACAGGAUCUCAGCUGCUCUCUUGGACAGGUCAACCAUUACCAGCUUGGGUCCAGGUCACAUGUUACUACAUUGUAGGAAGAUAUCACACAUCUCCUCCCAGUGACCCAGUCAUUGUCACAUUCCAGG
ensembl:lncRNA